CUACGGGUUGCUGCAGUGGGGAAUAUUGGACAAUGGGGGAAACCCUGACGCAGCGACGCCGCGUGAGUGAAGAAGGCCUUCGGGUUGUAAAGCUCUGUCAGAAGGGACGAAUAAAUGUGGUCUAAUAGGCCAACAAGAUGACGGUACCUUCAGAGGAAGCACCGGCUAACUCUGUGCCAGCAGCCGCGGUAAUACAGAGGGUGCAAGCGUUAUUCGGAAUUACUGGGCGUAAAGCGCAUGUAGGUGGAAUAUCAAGUCAGAUGUGAAAUCCCUGGGCUCAACCUAGGAACUGCAUUUGAAUCUGGUAUUCUUGAGUUUGGGAGAGGGAAGCGGAAUUCCAGGUGUAGAGGUGAAAUUCGUAGAUAUCUGGAGGAACACCAGAGGCGAAGGCGGCUUCCUGGUCCAAUACUGACACUGAGAUGCGAAAGCGUGGGGAGCAAACAGGAUUAGAUACCCCGGUAGUC
rnacentral:rRNA from 1 species